rnacentral:rRNA from 1 species
GACGAACGCUGGCGGCGUGCCUAAUACAUGCAAGUCGAACGAACUCUGGUUUUUGAUUGACGGUGCUUGCACCUGAUUGAUUAAACAUUUGAGUGAGUGGCGAACUGGUGAGUAACACGUAGGAAACCUGCCCAGAAGCGGGGGAUAACACCUGGAAACAGAUGCUAAUACCGCAUAACAACUUGAACCGCAUGGUUCGAGUUUGAAAGAUGGCUCUGCUAUCACUUCUGGAUGGUCCUGCGGCGUAUUAGCUAGAUGGUGAGGUAACGGCUCACCAUGGCAAUGAUACGUAGCCGACCUGAGAGGGUAAACGGCCACAUUGGGACUGAGACACGGCCCAAACUCCUACGGGAGGCAGCAGUAGGGAAUCUUCCACAAUGGACGAAAGUCUGAUGGAGCAACGCCGCGUGAGUGAAGAAGGGUUUCGGCUCGUAAAACUCUGUUGUUAGAGAAGAACAUAUCUGUGAGUAACUGUUCAGGUAUUGACGGUAUCUAACCAGAAAGCCACGGCUAACUACGUGCCAGCCGCCGCGGUAA